CAGAACCACGUCAUCUGCCAGGGGCAGCCAGGGUCCUUCUCCAGCUGCAACUCCAGCGUGGCAAACCAGAGGGCCCCUCUGGGCCUGAUCUGCUUAGAGCUGCCGAAGACGAGCCCUCCUACCACAAGGCCGCCGCCCACCACGCCAGAGCCCACAGUGCCUCCCAGGCUGCAUCUGGUGCCAGGGCCCGAGGGCCUGCGGUGCAUGGGGCGUGGUGGAAUU